rnacentral:tRNA from 1 species
AUUCGAAUAGUUUAAACUAAAACAAUACUCUUGUAAAGUAUCAUUGACACCUCUCUUCGAAAA